CUUCCCUGACCAGGUCUUUAGAACCGAACGGUCAGGAGAAGGGGGAGCCUUCUCUGACCAAGGCCUCCAAACCGGACGGCCAGACUCUGCAUAAUUCUGCAGAAUUCUGCAGAAUCAUGCAGAAUUCGACAGAACCUGCCAAGACCAUUUCUAACCAUUUUAGCCAACUUCUAACACCUCUAAUCUUCGUUUUUGACCUAAUUACACUUACCUAAGUGAUUCUAAACCUUUCUAACACAUUUCUAAAGUGAUUUAAGCUUCAUUUCAACACUAAAACACUCAAUUUCCCAACUUAGGGGCCCAAAACCCAAUCAUACCAUUUGGUACUUAUUUUGACCAACUUAGUGACUCAAACAAGUCACAAUACACUGCAUGAAGCUGUCCCAACAGUCCAAAAACGUGACAAACCCCAUUUACUCAAAAUCACUACCUCACUUCCUCUAAAAUGACUAAAANGUGACCCUAAUACCUAUGAUUCCCUUCCAAAUCAUUCCACAACCAAUCUUCCANACCAAAACAGUUUCAACAAGCAUAAUUCAUCAUUCAAAAACGCCCCAAANAGUUCAUAAUCAUCAAUCAUCGAAUUCACACAAUAUACACAUUUCCAUUCAUGCAUUUCAAGUCAAUAUAACCAAUUUCAUGCCUCCAACAACAUACAACAUCAAAAUUAUCAUACAUUCAAGGCAUACCACUAAAAUGAAAAGAAGAACUAGCUCNCCUUACCUCUAGUGUGGACAGCCAACUCAAGAAAGGACCCUAAACCACUUGCUUGAAACCCCAAAACGUGAGAAUCACCUAUAAAUCAUCAAAUGAUGAUGGAGAAUGAAUUUUAGACCCAAUUAGAAACUAGAUUAAGGAAGAAAACGAAAUGGGUUGCAUNAAAUAAGAAAUUUCAUNCUUUAAACCCUAGGGCAAAGGGGAAAAGANGGCUUUCUUACCGGUUGGANGAAACGGAGAUUCAAUCGGUGGGAANUGCUCCUCUUGCAGUCCUAAAAGCUUGGGUAGCUUCAAUUUGAAAUUCAAACGGUUAGAAUUUGAGUAGUGGUGCUUGAAAGGUAAGGCAAUGGAGGAAAAGUAGGAGAAGAAGAUGNGGNUGUUUUAGAAAAUGACCUAGUUCUAGUAUGCUAGUGUAUUUUUACUUUACCAAAAUAUUCUACCUAUCAUAAGCUGCCACGUGUAUUUUUACUAAUACUUUAUUUUUCAAGGUGUUACAUUAAUAAUGCUUCUUACUUUUCAUCAUAAUGCCAGAAAACAUAAUUCAAUU
rnacentral:lncRNA from 1 species